rnacentral:rRNA from 1 species
UNANGCCGNUUCGGUGGUGGAUANGUGGCNACGGGUGAGUACACGUGGGCAAUCUGCCCUUCACUCUGGGACAAGCCCUGGAAACGGGGUCUAAUACCGGAUAAUACUCUGUUCCGCAUGGAACGGGGUUGAAAGCUCCGGCGGUGAAGGAUGAGCCCGCGGCCUAUCAGCUUGUUGGUGGGGUAAUGGCCUACCAAGGCGACGACGGGUAGCCGGCCUGAGAGGGCGACCGGCCACACUGGGACUGAGACACGGCCCAGACUCCUACGGGAGGCAGCAGUGGGGAAUAUUGCACAAUGGGCGAAAGCCUGAUGCAGCGACGCCGCGUGAGGGAUGACGGCCUUCGGGUUGUAAACCUCUUUCAGCAGGGAAGAAGCGCAAGUGACGGUACCUGCAGAAGAAGCGCCGGCUAACUACGUGCCAGCAGCCGCGGUAAUACGUAGGGCGCAAGCGUUGUGCGGAAUUAUUGGGCGUAAAGAGCUCGUAGGCGGCUUGUCACGUCGGAUGUGAAAGCCCGGGGCUUAACCCCGGGUCUGCAUUCGAUACGGGCUAGCUAGAGUGUGGUAGGGGAGAUCGGAAUUCCUGGUGUAGCGGUGAAAUGC